UACGAAGGGAGCUAGCGUUGUUCGGAAUUACUGGGCGUAAAGGGCGCGUAGGCGGACAUCUAAGUCAGGGGUGAAAUCCCAGGGCUCAACCCUGGAAUUGCCUUUGAUACUGGACGUCUCGAGUUCGGGAGAGGUGAGUGGAAUUCCGAGUGUAGAGGUGAAAUUCGUAGAUAUUCGGAGGAACACCAGAAGCGAAGGCGGCUCACUGGCUCGAUACUGACGCUGAGGUGCGAAAGCGUGGGGAGCAAACAGG
rnacentral:rRNA from 1 species